AACGAACGCUGGCGGCAGGCUUAACACAUGCAAGUCGAGCGCCCCGCAAGGGGAGCGGCAGACGGGUGAGUAACGCGUGGGAAUCUACCCAUCUCUACGGAAUAGCGCAUGGAAACGUGUGCUAAUACCGUAUACGUCCUUCGGGAGAAAGAUUUAUCGGGGAUGGAUGAGCCCGCGUUGGCUUAGCUAGUUGGUGGGGUAAAGGCCUACCAAGGCGACGAUCCAUAGCUGGUCUGAGAGGAUGACCAGCCACACUGGGACUGAGACACGGCCCAGACUCCUACGGGAGGCAGCAGUGGGGAAUAUUGGACAAUGGGCGCAAGCCUGAUCCAGCCAUGCCGCGUGAGUGAUGAAGGCCCUAGGGUUGUAAAGCUCUUUCACCGGUGAAGAUAAUGACGGUAACCGGAGAAGAAGCCCCGGCUAACUUCGUGCCAGCCGCCGCGGUAACAC
rnacentral:rRNA from 1 species